rnacentral:rRNA from 1 species
UACGAAGGGGGCUAGCGUUGCUCGGAAUCACUGGGCGUAAAGCGCACGUAGGCGGACUCUUAAGUCGGUGGUGAAAUCCUGGAGCUCAACUCCAGAACUGCCUUCGAUACUGAGAGUCUCAGAGUCCGGGAGAGGUGAGUGGAACUCCGAGUGUAGAGGUGAAAUUCGUAGAUAUUCGCAAGAACACCAGUGGCGAAGGCGGCUCACUGGCCCGGUACUGACGCUGAGGUGCGAAAGCGUGGGGAGCAAACAGG